AGUCGAACGAUGAAGCUUCUAGCUUGCUAGAAGUGGAUUAGUGGCGCACGGGUGAGUAAGGUAUAGUUAAUCUGCCCUACACAAGAGGACAACAGUUGGAAACGACUGCUAAUACUCUAUACUCCUGCUUAACACAAGUUGAGUAGGGAAAGUUUUUCGGUGUAGGAUGAGACUAUAUAGUAUCAGCUAGUUGGUAAGGUAAUGGCUUACCAAGGCUAUGACGCUUAACUGGUCUGAGAGGAUGAUCAGUCACACUGGAACUGAGACACGGUCCAGACUCCUACGGGAGGCAGCAGUAGGGAAUAUUGCGCAAUGGGGGAAACCCUGACGCAGCAACGCCGCGUGGAGGAUGACACUUUUCGGAGCGUAAACUCCUUUUCUUAGGGAAGAAUUCUGACGGUACCUAAGGAAUAAGCACCGGCUAACUCCGUGCCAGCAGCCGCGGUAAUACGGAGGGUGCAAGCGUUACUCGGAAUCACUGGGCGUAAAGGGCGCGUAGGCGGAUUAUCAAGUCUCUUGUGAAAUCUAAUGGCUUAACCAUUAAACUGCUUGGGAAACUGAUAGUCUAGAGUGAGGGAGAGGCAGAUGGAAUUGGUGGUGUAGGGGUAAAAUCCGUAGAUAUCACCAAGAAUANNCAUUGCGAAGGCGAUCUGCUGGAACUCAACUGACGCUAAGGCGCGAAAGCGUGGGGAGCAAACAGGAUUAGAUACCCUGGUAGUCCACGCCCUAAACGAUGUACACUAGUUGUUGGGAUGCUAGUCAUCUCAGUAAUGCAGCUAACGCAUUAAGUGUACCGCCUGGGGAGUACGGUCGCAAGAUUAAAACUCAAAGGAAUAGACGGGGACCCGCACAAGCGGUGGAGCAUGUGGUUUAAUUCGAAGAUACGCGAAGAACCUUACCUGGGCUUGAUAUCCUAAGAACCUUAUAGAGAUAUGAGGGUGCUAGCUUGCUAGAACUUAGAGACAGGUGCUGCACGGCUGUCGUCAGCUCGUGUCGUGAGAUGUUGGGUUAAGUCCCGCAACGAGCGCAACCCACGUAUUUAGUUGCUAACGGUUCGGCCGAGCACUCUAAAUAGACUGCCUUCGUAAGGAGGAGGAAGGUGUGGACGACGUCAAGUCAUCAUGGCCCUUAUGCCCAGGGCGACACACGUGCUACAAUGGCAUAUACAAUGAGACGCAAUACCGCGAGGUGGAGCAAAUCUAUAAAAUAUGUCCCAGUUCGGAUUGUUCUCUGCAACUCGAGAGCAUGAAGCCGGAAUCGCUAGUAAUCGUAGAUCAGCCAUGCUACGGUGAAUACGUUCCCGGGUCUUGUACUCACCGCCCGUCACACCAUGGGAGUUGAUUUCACUCGAAGCCGGAAUACUAA
rnacentral:rRNA from 1 species